GACGUAGGGCGCGAGCGUUGUCCGGAUUUAUUGGGCGUAAAGAGCUCGUAGGCGGCUUGUCGCGUCAACUGUGAAAACCCGUGGCUCAACCAUGUGGUCUGCAGUCGAUACGAGCAAACUAGAGUGUUGCAGGGGAGACUGGAAUUCCUGGUGUAGCGGUGAAAUGCGCAGAUAUCAGGAGGAACACCGGUGGCGAAGGCGGGUCUCUGGGCAACAACUGACGCUGAGGAGCGAAAGCGUGGGGAGCGAACAGG
rnacentral:rRNA from 1 species